rnacentral:pre_miRNA from 1 species
UGUGCAAUUGUGAGGCCAUAUAGUAGCUACAAGUUUGAUGCUUUAAGGAACUGCCAAACUGUUUCCCAGAGUGGCAGUACUAUUUUGUAUCCCUGCUAGCAGU